CAGGGUCUAACGACUGCCCAAACCCAACCGUGAACUACUCCUUCAAACAUAUGCUUCGGCGGGCCGCUCGCUGGGGGAGCCCCGGGCCGCUUCGGCGGUGACCCGCCGCAGGCAUCCAAACUAAACCUUUUCCGAGACUGCUCUGAGAAAAUACUUUCUAAAUGAAAAUAAUCA
rnacentral:misc_RNA from 1 species